UUCCAGACUCCUACGGGAGGCAGCAGUGAGGAAUAUUGGUCAAUGGACGCAAGUCUGAACCAGCCAUGCCGCGUGCAGGAUGACGGCUCUAUGAGUUGUAAACUGCUUUUGUACGAGGGUAAACCCCGAUACGUGUAUCGGGUUGAAAGUAUCGUACGAAUAAGGAUCGGCUAACUCCGUGCCAGCAGCCGCGUCCAUACGUAGGAUCCGAGCAUUAUCCGGAGUGACUGGGUGUAAAGAGUUGCGUAGGUGGCAUAAUAAGUAGCUAGUGAAAUCUGGUGGCUCAACCAUUCAGACUAUUAGCUAAACUGUUAAGCUCGAGACCGUUAGGGGUAACUGGAAUUUCUAGUGUAGGAGUGAAAUCCGUAGAUAUUAGAAGGAACACCAAUAGCGUAGGCAGGUUGCUGGGACGGUUCUGACACUAAGGCACGAAAGCGUAGGGAGCAAACGGGAUUAGAUACCCGAGUACA
rnacentral:rRNA from 1 species